rfam:Treponema porcinum strain ATCC BAA-908 genome assembly, contig: EI69DRAFT_scaffold00016.16
GGAGCGAUACCAAAGCGGUCGUACUGGGGCGGUCUUGAAAACCGUUGUGUCGCAAGAUACCGGGGGUUCGAAUCCCUCUCGCUCCG